rnacentral:rRNA from 1 species
AGAAUCAACGCUGGCGGCGUGCCUAACACAUGCAAGUCGCACGAGAAAGGGGAGCAAUCCCUGAGUACAGUGGCGCACGGGUGAGUAACACGUGAAUAAUCUACCUCCGAGUGGGGAAUAACUGAGAGAAAUCUUAGCUAAUACCGCAUAACACUUACGAGUCAAGCAGCAAUGCGCUUGGAGAGGAGUUCGCGGCCGAUUAGUUAGUUGGCGGGGUAAUGGCCCACCAAGACGAUGAUCGGUA